CUGGAGGCCACGCUGCCCUGCUCCUUCUCCAUAGGGGGCCUCCGCCUGCCUGUGCCCAAUCCACGGCUACUGUCGAUCGUUCACACUCCCCUCCAGCUGAGGAAGACAAGUUGAAAGCCGUUCUUUAUUCUGCUGACAAAAAUAUCAGCCCUUGCGAGAGAAUAAUAAAGGAAAAACCUUGUAUAGGUAAGGUAAGGAGCCUCAUGCACUACUCAUCGAGCCCCUCAUUUCCUGGUGCUUUAAGGGGGACCGGAGCUGUGUCCCUCCUGUUUGAUUGAUUAUUAGUCUGACCUGAGGGUGAGGGUGAACUACUCAAGCUCAUUGUGAGGCC